UGCUUACUCUUUUCCGCAUUCUUCCCGAUGGCCAAAAGCAAAUAUUUAUUCCCCGCAUAUUUUCCCUUUUCUUUCAGGCUCCAGUUUUGAAACCUGUGGAUUCCCCCGGUCAAACAUUGCUUGACUGCCAUGAUUUGGGUCGGUUUGUUUUCCUCUGCUUAAAAAAAAAAAAAAGCCUUGCAGAGGGGCGGGAGGGGGGGAAGGAGAGAAGGAGGGAAGGGAAGGCAGCUCUAUGGGGCAGCGCUGUUUUACAUGCGGGUUAGACACGGCUAGAGGCCAAGGUCAAGUUGAAAGUUGCCGUCUAGCCAAUGUGAGAACUGUCAUUCGCAGCCCCAAGACCCGUCUGAUUUGUUAAAAACGGGUCGUCGUGAGACCAGUGAUCUGCCAUGCGACCUUGGCCUCCCCCCA
rfam:Tinamus guttatus contig3965, whole genome shotgun sequence.